rnacentral:lncRNA from 1 species
GCAACAAGUGAUAGCAUAUUGAUCUACGGGGAACACUAAUGAACCUCCCCCAUCCCUAAUCUCUGAUGUUCUUAAUUGAUUACUCUUCGAGCAUCUCCGUGCAAAGCAUAUGCAUAAACAAUCAAAGGGAUCAAUCUCAAUCUCCCACACAACGUUGCCUGCCCACCUACGUCUUCUUCAUAGGCACUAUUAGGAGGAAGAGCAUGGAUUAAACAACUAAUCGGUGCAUCCAAUCGGUACAAGCCGUCCUCUGCGUCGCUGUUUCCCUGCCUUAUCACUCCAUCCGCGCCCUUCGUGUUGACCUCUACCGACGUCGCAUCCGUUCCCAGGUGAGGACGGACGGAGGAGGAAGAGAGAUGAGAAGUGCGCGCGGGUUCCGAGGGCGACGGCCGCGCGCCGCAACGCCCCACCCCUCCCCCGCGCGUGGCCGCACGGGGAACCGAGCUCUUAAACCUACGGCCGUAGGGACGAAACUACCCCCCCUCGGUCUCGCAGGGGUAGUGGGAGGUGGGCCCGGGCUCCCAUUAAAAGCCGGGGGUGGAGGAGUACGCCUCCGCGUCGGCGUCCGACAAAAGCUGCGCCCUCCUCCCACGCCACUCCCACGUCGGUCGGACCACCCGACGCCCGCUUCGCCCGGCCUUCGUUUCCCCCGUUUCCCCGCCCACC